GGGGGUAUGGUGUGAGUAUGUGUUGGACGGGGGUAUAUGGUGUGAGUGUGUGUUGGACGGGGGGUAUGGUGUGAGUGUGUGUGAGUGUGUGUUGGACGGGGGUGUAUGGUGUGAGUUAGGAAUUAGUACCCGGGCUUAAGUCUUAUUUAGUGAGACACAACGUUGGAGAGAUUUAAAGAGGACGUGGCAGUAGUGUAGUAAAGUACCUAUUACUGCUACUAGUGUGUGUGGGACGGGGGGUGUAUGGUGUGAGUGUGUGUUGAACGGGGGGUGUAUGGUGUGAGUAUGUGUUGGACGGGGGUAUAUGGUGUGAGUGUGUGUUGGACGGAGGGUAUGGUGUGAGUGUGUGUGAGUGUGUGUUGGACGGGGGUGUAUGGUGUGAGUUAGGAAUUAGUACCCGGGCUUAAGUCUUAUUUAGUGAGACACAACGUUGGAGAGAUUUAAAGAGGACGUGGCAGUAGUGUAGUAA
ensembl:lncRNA